AUCUACAGCCAUAUUACCCUGAAUGUGCUGACCUCUUUUAACCUCAGAAGCUAAGCAGGGUCAGGCCCGUUUAGUACUUGGGUGGGAGACAACCUGGGAAUACUGGGUAUUGUAGGCU
rnacentral:rRNA from 1 species